AUAAACAGAAGAGGCGCGAUGCUUAGGUAGCUGAUGUGAGGUGACGAUAACCCGUGACCAUCAGUGAGGGAAGUACUCGCCGAGGAAAACCAUGCUACGUCGGCGUGAUUUUUCGGUCCUGGAGGUUGAAUCCUCGGGACUGUCACCGUUUUCAGGUGGAGAGCUUCUGGCAGA
rnacentral:ncRNA from 1 species